rnacentral:rRNA from 1 species
GACGAACGCUGGCGGCGUGCUUAACACAUGCAAGUCGAACGAGUGGCGAACGGGUGAGUAAUAAGUGGGUAACCUGCCCUCUUUUUGGGAUAAGCCUUGGAAACGGGGUCUAAUACCGAAUAAAGGGGGAUGGGCUCGGGGCAUAUCAGCUUGUUGGGGGGGUGAUGGCCUACCAAGGCGGUGACGGGUAGCCGGCCUGAGAGGGUGACCGGGCACAUUGGGACUGAGAGACGGCCAAGACUCCGACGGGGGGCAGUAGUGGGGGAUAUUGCACAAGGGGCGAAAGCCUGACGCGGCGACGGCGCGUGGGGGAUGAAGGCUUUCGGGUUGUAAACCUCUUUCGCUACCGAACGGGUAGGUGGAGAAGAAGCGCCGGCUAACUACGUGCCAGCAGCCGCGGUAAUUC